UAGUCUAGUGGUUAAGGCUAUGGAUCGCCAAUCCGGAGACGACGGGUUCAAUUCCCGU
rnacentral:tRNA from 1 species